UCUUGAUUAGUGGCGCACGGGUGAGUAAUAUAUAGAUAACGUGCCUCUUAGUCUGGGAUAGCCAUUGGAAACGAUGAUUAAUACUAGAUACUCCUUCUCUUUAUAAUGAGAGUCGGGAAAGUUUUUCGCUAAGAGAUCGGUCUAUAUCCCAUCAGCUUGUUGGUAGUGUAAGAGACUACCAAGGCUAUGACGGGUAGCGGGUUUGAGAGGAUGAUCCGCCACACUGGUACUGAGACACGGACCAGACUCC
rnacentral:rRNA from 1 species